UACGAAGGGGGCUAGCGUUGCUCGGAAUCACUGGGCGUAAAGCGCACGUAGGCGGAUUGUUAAGUCGGGGGUGAAAUCCUGGAGCUCAACUCCAGAACUGCCUUCGAUACUGGCGAUCUUGAGUCCGGGAGAGGUGAGUGGAACUCCGAGUGUAGAGGUGAAAUUCGUAGAUAUUGGGAAGAACACCGAUGGCGAAGGCAGCCAUCUGGACCGACACUGACGCUGAGGCGCGAAAGCGUGGGGAGCAAACAGGG
rnacentral:rRNA from 1 species